rnacentral:rRNA from 1 species
AACGAACGCUGGCGGCAUGCCUAACACAUGCAAGUCGAACGAGACCUUCGGGUCUAGUGGCGCACGGGUGCGUAACGCGUGGGAACCUGCCCUUAGGUUCGGAAUAACUCCCCGAAAGGUGUGCUAAUACCGGAUAAUGUCUUCCGACCAAAGAUUUAUCGCCUUUGGAUGGGCCCGCGUUGGAUUAGCUGGUUGGUAGGGUAAAAGCCUACCAAGGCGACGAUCCAUAGCUGGUCGGAGAGGAGGAUAAGUCACACUGGGACUGAGACACGGCCCAGACUCCUACGGGAGGCAGCAGUGGGGAAUAUUGGACAAUGGGCGAAAGCCUGAUCCAGCAAUGCCGCGUGAGUGAUGAAGGCCUUAGGGUUGUAAAGCUCUUUUACCCGGGAUGAUAAUGACAGUACCGGGAGAAUAAGCUCCGGCUAACUCCGUG